rnacentral:rRNA from 1 species
AUGCUUCUCCUAAAGACUAAGCCAUGCAUGUCUUCAAAUAAGAGGAAGCAAUUCUCUCUGAAUCUGCGAACGGCUCCGCAAACCAGUUGUAAACCAAAGCAAGCUUGCUCGGGUUGGGCUUCGGCCUGGCCUGGGUGAUACGGAUAACCCUGGUAAUUCUGAGGCUAAUACGUGUAUGGAACACCCGGUGGACCGGCCUCACGGGCUGGGAUAUCGGGAGACGAGUGAUGGAAUGUUUGGAUUACCAGGAACGGGCG